GGGACGGUAGCUCAACCGGAUAGAGCAUUGGUCUUCUAACCAAAGGUUGUGGGUUCGAUUCCCACCCGUCUCAUCA
rnacentral:tRNA from 1 species